CCUACGGGGUGCAGCAGUAGGGAAUCUUCGUCAAUGGACGAAAGUCUGACCGAGCAACGCCGCGUGAGUGAAGAAGGUUUUCUGAUCGUAAAACUCUGUUGGUAGCGAAGAACGUUGUUGAGAGUGGACAGCUCCUCAAGUGCCGUUAACUACCCAGCAAGGUACGGCUAACUACGUGCCAGCAGCCGCGGUAAUACGUCGGUCCCGAGCGUUGUCCGGAUUUAUUGGGCGUAAAGCGAGCGCAGGUGGUUUAUUAAGUCUGGUGUAAAAGGCAGUGGCUCAACCAUUGUAUGCAUUGGAAACUGGUAGACUUGAGUGCAGGAGAGGAGAGUGGAAUUCCAUGUGUAGCGGUGAAAUGCGUAGAUAUAUGGAGGAACACCGGUGGCGAAAGCUGCUCUCUGGCCUGUAACUGACACUGAGGCUCGAAAGCGUGGGGAGCAAACAGGAUUAGAUACCCUAGUAGUC
rnacentral:rRNA from 1 species